AAGUCGUAACAAGGUUUCCGUAGGUGAACCUGCGGAAGGAUCAUUAACACGUCCAAACGUUACUCACCAACUGUGCAUCUAUCUGAUGUCCCUUCAGCUUCGGCUGAAGACGACAGCAGUGUGCGAGACAAGAUCAGCGUUCGCGUUCGAUCUGCUUCAAGCACUGCUUCUAUAUUUAUUCACGAUAUUCCCCUUUCUUUGCUUUCCUCGUGGAAGCGCGUUUUGUUGUGCUGUGUCUUGAUCAUUUGAUCUCGGCAUUGUUGGAUUGACUUGUCAAUCUGGAUUAAUUUCCAAACAACUCUUAGCAAUGGAUAUCUCGGUUCUC
rnacentral:misc_RNA from 1 species